rnacentral:rRNA from 1 species
CAGUCGCCGCGGGAACACGAAGGGUGCAAGCGUUAAUCGGAAUUACUGGGCGUAAAGCGUGCGUAGGCGGUUUGUUAAGUCUGUUGUGAAAUCCCCGGGCUCAACCUGGGAAUGGCAAUGGAUACUGGCAAGCUAGAGUGUGUCAGAGGAUGGUGGAAUUCCCGGUGUGGCGGUGAAAUGCGUAGAGAUCGGGAGGAACAUCAGUGGCGAAGGCGGCCAUCUGGGACAACACUGACGCUGAGGCACGAAAGCGUGGGGAGCAAACAGGAUUAGAUACCCGAGUAGUCCCUGUCUCUUAUAC